rnacentral:lncRNA from 1 species
UUCGUCCAUUAGCUUGAAUGUCCAUUUGUGGAUAAAUUAGACAUUGAAGAUCAAAAACAUUAAAAUAAAUGUUGUUUGUUAAGUCUUAAUUUAUAAGAUUACUGUUUUAAAAAUGUCACGUUCAAAAUGAAUAUUUCCAUAAUAGAAUAGAACUUUAGGUGGGUUCUGAUAGUUCUGUAAAUUAUAAAUUAAAUACUUUUAAAAUAUGAAGUAUAUGAAAUAAUAAGUAUAUAUUUGUUUAAAUAUCUAUUCUUCAUUAAUAUGCACAAAUCUAUAGUACAUAAUACAUAAUAUGAUUUGUGCAGUCAUCGAUAUUGAUUAUAUCAAAAUUCAUACUUCUUAAUUUUUGGAUGAGAAAUAUGAAUAUAAUUUUGUAUCUAAUAUUCUAAUUAUAUUAUAAUAUAUAUUUUUUGUAGAGACCUUUGGUAAGUAUAUUUUAUGUUUAAUGUCAUAUUUUUACUUUCCAUCUCGUGAGAUGGCCAGAUGACAAAUUAAAUAUUGUUGUUAACUUAUAUACUGUAUUGAAGGGAUGUGUACACAAAAUUUUUUAUUGAAUUGUUGAAUGUGUUGUAUAUAACACUGCUAACGAAUGACGUAUGACGUUUACAGCAUCACAUUUUUGGCUUAGACCUAAUAUUACAAACGCAUAACUUAUAUGAAUGUUUUUCUAAAGAAAACACAUUUUCAUAAUCCAUAUAACUAGGUAGUCGUUAUAUGUUCUUUCAGAAUAAUGUUAUCUUUCUAUUAUGUAUUAAUAAUGGUGUCUAUACUUAUCGAUCUUGUCCAAAAGUACCUUACAUUACAGUUGUACAUAUCCACAUAUCGUUUUGAAUUUUUCAGAAAUGACGUUUUCAUUUAUUUGUUUGAUUUACAAUAGGCCCCAUAAUUAGUAUAAUAAAUUAAUUAUUAUAGAUUAGAGUAACAUUUUAUAAAAGUCUGAUACAUUUUUUUCCCCAGCAAAAUCUAGAUAACUCUUUAAACAUAAUGUAAUUUAUAUUGAACACUAUUCCAAUGAAUUAAACAUUAUAAUUUUCAGUGAAUUAUACAAACGAAAAUCUAUUUGUGGGUAAGAAACAUAAUUGAAUAUUUUUUAUAAUGACUUAUAAUUGUUACGGAGCGUCGGGGACGACGUUCCGGAUCGUGAAAUAAUUAAAAUGUACGUAUUUUGUAGGUAAUUUACGACGCUAUUAAAACGUUCCUAUAUUUUGGUAUAAAAUAUAAACAUAUACAUAUAAAUAAGGGCUGAGUAAAGCGUCGGCUUGCUCUGACCAGACUUGGAAAAAGUGAGUAGGAACAGUCGGUAGUGCUUAGAGUUAGUCGGGCCGAGGCCGGGCUCUAAUUACAAUAGUCGGGAAGAUCAAGUGUUGCGUACAUUUGCAGUUAUCGGUUUGGGGUUUAACCGUCGCCGGUACAAGCUUAAUUAAGCUGGUACUCCGGUGACGAGUUGAAUCCGGGAAGGUCAACUUGAACAAGUGCCUUAAUGCUUGGGGAGCAACGAGUUACGGCCGAGGUUGGGUCAGGUCGUCGUCUACGUGGUUUUUCCCGAGUGUGUUGGAACCGUUCCUCUGGAUCCGUCUGAUCGGGUGGCUAAUAGUAUUUCCGGGCGCCUUGGUGCUUCAUGGGCUAGUGGUGAUCCGUGCCACUCCGGGCAGGUGGCGUGUGGGCUUCCCGGGUCCUUGAUCGAUGGUGUUCACUUUACUCAGAGGUCUGACUUCGGGUCGUGUGUCAUCCGUCGCCAAUCGAACGUUGAGUUCGGAGCUGUCCGCCGAUCGAAGGUACGUGGGUUGCCGUGGACUGUCGACCGCGAUUACACUUCGAGAACGUUCGCUAAAUAAAGUUAUUUAGUAAUCGAUUAACCCUGAGAGGUGUAACCCGGGAGAAAACGCCGUGCGAUGUGGUUCUAUCGUCACGAGUGAUCGCGGCGUCGGGCCGUGUAGAUUCGUCGUAGUCGGCGUAGGGCCGGUGGGUGCCGUCAGUUGCACGUCGCGGACUGUGCUGGAUAACCGUAACAGCGGCGUGUUGAUUUUCUGCUGCGGUGGCGAUUCCGGACCUCUGAUUGGCUGAUCAAUAUCGCUUAUAAAUUCGUCGCGGCGGCUGGUGUCUUCGUAAGUCUUCCUUCUUAAAAUUCAAUUCAGUCUGUAUAGUUUGAUUGAAGUCUUGAGAUUUAAUGUGGAAGUGGAAGAAAUUGGUUUCAUCGACGGCGGAAUGCCGGUAACACAUUACCGUACCGACUAGUAAACGGUUUGUGUAUUCGGUUUAGCCGGCGUUUGGUUGCGUCUACGUUUCCGGUGAUAUCUUCUCUCCCUUUGUUCCGAUUAGGUCGUGAGUGGUGUCUAUGGAUAGCUAUUUUUAUCUCCUAUCCGAUGAUCCCACCCUUGACCUCGUUACUUUUUGUGUUUGUCCUCGUUUUUCUCCUUUCCUCUCCUUCAGACUGUCUCACAUCUUCUGUCUUAUGUUGGUGGCAGUGUUUUCCUCUUUUUGUGAAUUUUGCAAUACCUCUGGAUAGGUAUUUUCCUUCCUUAUCCAUUGAUAUCACCCCCGCCAUUGUAAGUUGUAUUCUGGUUAUUGUUUUUAAUGUUUUCUUAAUAACGGCCUGUGAUUGGUUGUUAUUUGUCCAUGUAUUUGUCGGUCCUGAGAAGGACCGUUUUAAUUAUGUAUGUGUAAUAAAUGUUCUGUAACAUAAUUCAUUUUUGUUUGAAAGUUUCUUGGUAAAUUUACAAAAGCGAUAUUUUUAUUUAUUUUUUUUACAUUGUUUUUUAAUCAAUUGGAAAUCAUAUAAAAUACAAUUUUCAAAUCUGUAACACUUUUUAGAAAUAUACGUUAUAAAAGCAAUAAAUUAUAGGAGAGUGUGGAUUUUCACAAAUGUACCUAUAGUUUUUAGGUCAGCUACGUACUUGCGAUAGGUGCAAAUAAAUUUUGCUCACCUAAUCUAACCAAAUUAAAAUGAUUCUUUUAAACUCGUAUGUUCUAAAAUAUGUCUUAUUUCUUAAUAUCUGUUGGAAUGAAUUUGAGCAUAGUGUAUGGACUAAAAAUAUUAUAUUUUAUUUGUAUGAGUUGUUAUUAUGAUAGUCGUAUAUUACAAAAUAUUAAAGAAUAUACUAUUCCAAAACAAUUCAUCAAAAUAUUGAAAUUAAUAUACAAAUUGAAAUUAAAUUUAGAUUUGUUUUCUAUUUAUACAAAAACCAUUUUAUUACAAAGUUGUACCCCAUUUUGUAAAACUAUCAAGAGCUUAUAAAAUAAAUUAUUAGAUUCACCACU